GCGCAACUCGUAUUUCACCUUCGACCUGCGUCUAUUCGUUGUGCGAUUCAACGAGCCAAACAAACGUCGAGCAAUGUCGACUCCAACAUCGGCCGUCAAGUAGAAACGAAGGAAGUCGGAGAACUGCUCGAAAAUUCCCACCUCGCUGGCGAUGAGUUCGGACGAAAUUCUCUGCAGCUCGUUUGCAGCCGCCAUCUCGGUGAACUCCUUGAGCGCUUCUUGCGACAGAGUCGCCGACGCAAUGGCGCUAAUAGCGUCCUUCAGUUUGCACUGAGAGACUAAAAGAGAGGAGGAGAAAAAAGCAAGUCAUCAACAAAAACGGGUUGUAGGGUAGAACCGCAAAGUGACGGAGUCUAGCAAACACAACGCACAGUUUGCGUAUUCCUGCAGCUUGACGAAGUCGUCCGGCGUCAUUCGCGAGUGAGACAUCCUCACUACUCGUUGAAGUCGUCGAAUCCUCACCGCCACCAACCAAGGCAAGCCUACGAGCUAUUGGGUAAGUGAUACCUGACUGGUGUUGCGCAGCUCGCCACGCCUACUCAAGUUACUUCUCUGUUUUUUCAACAAAACAAUUAGUCAAAUAAAUAUGUGAUUGUUGGCAUGUAAUUAUAACAUGUUUCUAUGUCUUUCUCCGUCUACAGAGAAGUGGCCGACUGGACACUCAGUCUACAGCUGCAUCUCACGUGAUGGUGUAAAUUGACAUCUAGACUUGCAGCAGCUAAAACUCAAGUAUACACAGUGUAACACUAAACUCUCGGCAACAACAGUUACGAUUGGAGUAAUAACUAAAUACACCGUUAAUUCUCUUGUUCAAGGAAAAGUGAGUCUUCUAGUCUAGUAACCGCUUUGUCAUACAUACUGUCUGUCUUGCUACUUCUACGUACUUAGCUAACUAGAAUAGAUUUGUCUUUGUAAUAGAAACUCUACCUUGCUAGAAAUGCGAUAGAAAAUAUCAAAGCAGCAUUGCAGAUCAGAAAAAUAUCUAAUAACAUCAUUCAAAUCAA